GGAAGAAAUAACAGUGGAUAGAACUGUCAACGGCAUCGGUGGAAGCUACGAUAUUCGACGAUUGUUAAUGUCAUGACAUUGUUGACAUGGCGUUGACGUUUAAUCCCAUUAAAUUAAUAUAAUAUGGUGUUGAUAUUCAAGUUCAUGUCGGGUGAAUUGCCUGUGUAUCAUGGCGAGUUACUUUCCCAGCAAAAAAUUACAGCAAAAUAGCCCACCCAUGUAGAAGCUCCCUUUGGAUCUUCCAUACAUGGGCUGACCAAUCAACCCAAAGGCCCAAGUGGCCCGCAACAAAAACAAAAACCUGCCAUACGACGCCGGUACUGGAUAAACCCCUCCAUCUCUUCCGCAUUCACUCACCCUCCCCAAAACCCUCCUCCCUCCCUCCUCCCUCCCUCUCCCGCCGUCAUCCGAUCCAAUGGCGCCGAAGAAGGACAAGGCAACUCCGCCGUCGUCGAAGCCGGCCAAGUCCGGAGAAGGUCAACAACAUGGUGCUCUUCGACCAGGGCAACUACGACAAGUUCCUGACUGAGGCGCCCAAGUACAAGCUGAUCACGCCGUCCAUUCUCUCCGACCGCCUCAGGAUCAACGGGUCGCUCGCGUGGAGGACGAUCAGGGAGUUGAUGGCGCGAGGGUUGAUUCGGAUGGUCUCGGCCCACGCCAGCCAGUAGACCUACGCCAGAGCCACCAACACCUAGGUCUCUACUUGCCCUUCAUGUUUAGUUCUCUGGCUGUGGAAGUUUGAAUCAUUUUUUGGUUAUUGUUAUGCCUCUUACGCUAUUUGGCACCGUUUCGAAUCUACAUUUUUCAGUUUUUCUUAUGACAAGCCAGAUAAUUUAUGAUGAUAUUGGUUUCUCCUUGCA